UUCUUCACCCUUCACACGUGUCCCUCCGCUCACAAUCUCUCAAGACUCUUCUCUCCACUAUUUCUCCCACUCCCUCAUUUUCGUCCCUCACAGACACUCACACUCCACUCCCCAACGUCUCUCUCCACUGCUAACAACCUCACGCUCUCUCUCUCUAAAAGACCCUCACCUUCCACUCAUUUUUACGGACAACCCACAAACCCUUCUUUCACUCUCUCUCACGCAAAAGAGAAAACAGAAAGAGAAGGCGGAAGAGAAGAAGAAAAACCCUUCUUGUUCUCCAACCCCGCCGCAAACCUCCGAACCCUUUCUCCUCUCACUGACCAAAAACCCAUCACAACCUCCGUCUCCACUACCUUCAAAACACAAGCUCAGCCGCCGUCAACCUCCACUGCCGCCGCGGAUUCACCACCGCGAAACCAUCGACCACCCAAAACCCACCGUAAACCUUCAAAAUCCCAAUCGUCAAACCCUUCUUCAUCACAACACAUUCACCGCCGCCACUACCUUAAACCUCCAAAUCCACCAAACCCUAAACCAUCGCUCACCCCCAAUCGCCGCUCACUUUGAAUCUCCGCCGUUUACCACCAACACCACAACCAACAAAUACCCUCCUUCAACACAAACCCUCACACCAUCAUCGAAACCCUCACUCAACAACCGUUUCAACCAUGGCACCACCCAGCUCGGAACGGCAAAACGCGUCCCCAAGGUAGACGUUCCGCCGGAACAGGUGCAGUCAAAAAGCGACGGCUUGGAUCUAUACCAACAAUAUCUUGAAUAGGAUAGUGGAUCUGUCGAAGAUCUUACGGCGCUCACAAGAUACCUUUCUGUUCUAAUGGAAAUCCCGCGACAACCAUGAACUCAGAGCAGCAAACAGAACAUGACAAUUUGAUCAUUUUGGUAGUAUUUCGGUUAAAGCGUCGGAUUUAAGUUUAUGUUGUUUCUAAUGAGUUUACAUUCAGUUUUCAGAUAAGCGAUAUACUUUAAAUUUGCUGCUUUUACCUUCUGUAUGACUACAGUCUUCACGUUUGAAAAUUAAUUAUGGUGACUCAUGGAUGUUUCGAUAGGGUUUCCAGCUUGGUUUGUUUGUGUUGUUUAAAUUGAGGAUACGAAUGAGUUAGUUUAUGGACUGAGAACCUGUAGAUAAUGAACGACUGUGAUCUUGUUUUGAUUAUAGCAUUUGUUUCUUUCCUAUAAGUGUUUGUAUUAAAAUGUGAUUAGAUUACCGCUUGAAGCUUGUUUAGACAUUACAAGUGUGUUAUAUUGACUGUUAGAUGUAUUAGUUUUGUGGGAAGAUUUUUUGUGAAAUUAAAGUUUAUUUUCCCAUCAGUGUUAUCAAUAGAACAAAUGGAUAUUGGUUGAAAUGCUGAACAGUUCGUUUCUUUAUUCUGUACUAGCUGAAUUUGGUUUUGCAUUAGCUGCACCUUUUGAGGUCUCCUUGGACAUGAUUUAUUUCUAUUCUAUUCUAAUAAGAAGUCAAGUAGAU
rnacentral:lncRNA from 1 species